CGCUGUUCACCACACUUCCCUCUUAAGGGGAGAGGAUGUCGGUGGAGCACCCAUGCCCCUCCAGCCCCGGCCUGCCCCCAGGUGCCUCCCGUGGGAUACUGGAAGGGGUCUUCCCAGGAGAGGCCAGGCCCAGACUCUCUCCCCAGCCGGCAGUCCUGGGCUGUGGCUCUUUCACUUCCUUCUUCAUUUUUCUGACGAGAACAGAUGCCGCCGCAGCUGACAAGCAGCCUGCCGGUGUGACAGGGAAGGCGGAUCCAGCCCUUGUUUGUCUGACUUGAUGAGCGACUACCAUGUGCUGGGCCUCUGCCGGCUACUAGGACACAAGGACGAAGUAGUCACCAGCAUCCUCCAGAAGGACAGUCUGGGGAAUCGGCAGGGACCCUGGCAUGAGAUGCUCUGAUGGAGCAGGACUCCGAGGCCCGGCUGCCUGGUCCCCAUCAGUCUCCACCACUUCCAGCUGUGAAUCGCACAAGGCCCUUAAGCCCCACGGCUGUAAAAUGGGAUGCUAAGGACACCCGCUCGGUUGGGUGUUAGACAGAUUAAACACGUUCGCACGUGGAACUCAUUUGGUUACAGUGCCUGGCACACAGCAAGCUCCUUCUGCCCACAUCCACAUCCUAGAAUAGUGGCUCCUCACCAAAUCCUGGGAGCUCCUCUGCUCCUCUGUCGUCCCUCACACCCCCUCACCUCCAGAAGUGUCAGGGUCUAACCACCAUGCUUCCAGCUGCAAGUCUCUUCUGAUCAUCACAGCAGACACCUGCAUGUACCAUGCACAGUGUGCUCCCCGCUGAACUCACAUGUCCUCUGCCUAAGCCCACAGGGGGAGGGUCUCCAGAGGCCCUGAGACCUGAUCUUGGAAGAGGGUUGGAGUUUGGCUUGGGGUGAAACGGCUCCCUGCCCCAAGCCAGGUAUAUGCACCUCACCAAUCCCUCAGGCCCAGGCAGUAUGUGGCACCCCUGACUGCAGUAAGCUGGCUUCCCAGCUGGACAGUUCUUCCUGGCAGCUGGCCUCAGGCUCUCCAGCUGCAGUGCCAAGGAUCACAUGCUGGCCAAGCAGAGAGGCUGCUGGGUGGUCUGCAGAGGCCGUUUUCCCUGACUCCACCCCUGCCCACGGUCCCAGGGAGCAGGUACCAAGCCAGGAAUCUGCCCUCCUCUCACGUCCUGGAAACUGCUACUCACCUUGCAAGACUCAGAAAACAUUGCUUCCUCCAGGAAGUCCUCCGCGAUGGCCCUGCCAUCUCUUCCAGGAAGCCUUCCCUGAUUCUUCAAGAGUUGGCACCUUCGGCCUGAAUGCUGCGUUCAGAUGCUCCCCGCCCCCAGGAGGGUCAUUACUCCUUCCAUGUCCAGCUCCCCACCUGGCCGGGAGCAUCUUGAGAACAAGCAGAGCCCGAUUCCCCAGGGUCUCCAGCCCGGCACACAGCGAGCGCUCGGAAAAUGUUGGUUGACCCUGUGAUGCUAGGUUGGCUAGAAGGUGGUCAAUGUCUAUUCCCUGAGGCUUCCCCCAGCUUCAUUUAAGGAUGCAGAGGGAAGGGAGGGGAGGGGAGAAGAGAAGCGGGUUUGAUCGCCUGUUCCUCUCCGCCUGCAGCCUGAUGCUUCACCAGUUAAUUGCCGGCCAUUCGGGCCCCAGCCCCUCCUCAUUACCAUGAUUAGCAUUGAGCGAGCUGCGCAUUUUACGACUCUCCAAACCAAAAAAAUAAUUAAAGCAAUUACUGUCAUUAACACUCUGCCCUCUUCACCACCUUCGCUGAGAGUGAGCAGCG
rnacentral:lncRNA from 1 species